AUUGAACGCUGGCGGCAGGCCUAACACAUGCAAGUCGAGCGGAUGAAGGGAGCUUGCUCCUGGAUUCAGCGGCGGACGGGUGAGUAAUGCCUAGGAAUCUGCCUGGUAGUGGGGGAUAACGUCCGGAAACGGGCGCUAAUACCGCAUACGUCCUGAGGGAGAAAGUGGGGGAUCUUCGGACCUCACGCUAUCAGAUGAGCCUAGGUCGGAUUAGCUAGUUGGUGGGGUAAAGGCCUACCAAGGCGACGAUCCGUAACUGGUCUGAGAGGAUGAUCAGUCACACUGGAACUGAGCCACGGUCCAGACUCCUACGGGAGGCAGCAGUGGGGAAUAUUGGACAAUGGGCGAAAUCCUGAUCCAGCCAUGCCGCGUGUGUGAAGAAGGUCUUCGGAUUGUAAAGCACUUUAAGUUGGGAGGAAGGGCAGUAAGUUAAUACCUUGCUGUUUUGACGUUACCGACAGAAUAAGCACCGGCUAACUUCGUG
rnacentral:rRNA from 1 species